CGGAGCCUACGAGGGGCAGCAGUGAGGAAUAUUGGUCAAUGGGCGGAAGCCUGAACCAGCCAAGUCGCGUGAGGGAAUAAGGCCCUACGGGUCGUAAACCUCUUUUGCCGGGGAGCAAGGGCCGGGACGAGUCCCGGUCCGGAGAGUACCCGGAGAAAAAGCAUCGGCUAACUCCGUGCCAGCAGCCGCGGUAAUACGGAGGAUGCGAGCGUUACCCGGAUUUAUUGGGUUUAGAGGGUGCGUAGGCGGGCUUUUAAGUCAGCGGUAAAAAUUCGGGGCUC
rnacentral:rRNA from 1 species